rnacentral:rRNA from 1 species
AACGAACGCUGGCGGCAGGCUUAACACAUGCAAGUCGAGCGCCCCGCAAGGGGAGCGGCAGACGGGUGAGUAACGCGUGGGAAUCUACCCAUCUCUACGGAAUAACGCAUGGAAACGUGUGCUAAUACCGUAUACGUCCUUCGGGAGAAAGAUUUAUCGGAGAUGGAUGAGCCCGCGUUGGAUUAGCUAGUUGGUGGGGUAAAGGCCUACCAAGGCGACGAUCCAUAGCUGGUCUGAGAGGAUGAUCAGCCACACUGGGACUGAGACACGGCCCAGACUCCUACGGGAGGCAGCAGUGGGGAAUAUGGGACAAUGGGCGCAAGCCUGAUCCAGCCAUGCCGCGUGAGUGAUGAAGGCCCUAGGGUUGUAAAGCUCUUUCACCGGUGAAGAUAAUGACGGUACCCGGAGAAGAAGCCCCGGCUAACUUCGUGCCAGCCGCAGCAGUAACAC